CAUCCUUGUGAUGAGGCACGUGUCCAAAACAGCAACUGAUUAGAAGAGACUGAGUGUCCCCCUGCCCAAACCUGGGUAAUCCAGGAGUGUGAUAUCUCCCCAGAUGACCACCAAAGAUGACCAAAGACCCCCAUGCAAGUGCAGAAGAUUCCCGUAUGUUCUGUAACCUCAUACUUCCAUAGCCCUACAAACAGGCAACAGAUGUGUUUCAGGAGGUUUAAAGUUGACAACAGUUUUGGUGACCCAGACGGGACAUUUGGAUUGAACUUCACCCUUCUUCUCACCGCUGCCAGGUUGGUGUCAUAAGCUGGACUCCAGCAUGCAUCAGAUAAUUUUUCCAGGGACUCCCCCUGUGAUUCCCCAGCAGGUGCAGAGGAGCUGUUCAGUAUCCAGUGGAGCGAUAUUGUAAUGUCAUAAGCAGGAACUGGGGGGAUUGGUGCCUUAAAGUCGGCAUUUUGGUAUUUUCCUGCACGCUAUUACAGUGAUGACUGGAGUUCGGGGAGGUUGGUUCAUUUGACUUAAGGGUAUUAUUGUUUUGCUGAUCAGUAAGCUGGGUAAUGUACAGUCCACGGAGGACAAAGUUCCCCAAAUGACUGCGUUGUGGGAUAUUGAGGGAAGUCUCAGGGAGGCCUCGUAGCUUGAAGAAAACUGAUAAUGUAUUGCAAUCUCUGGUGUCCAGUAUGUUUUUGGGAAGAUCAAGAAAAGUGGCUAGUAAAUGGUUCUCUGUAAUGGCAUUAAGCAAUUAAUGUUAUCUUAUAGCAGAGAAGGAAAAUGGGAUGAAGCGCUGUGUGCGGAUUUGUUCCUUGAAUUAAGAAAUGAUGAAAGAUGUCAGAAAUGUGGGUUAGUGUCCACGGACACAAAUGCUUUGGCUUUGGAAAAAUAGAGGGCGAUGUCUACAAUACAGAGAUGCUGUUCAGCAUGUAGUGUAGGUAAAUGAUGUAAGAUGAAGGAGGCAGAGGAGAGAGAAGGGAGAACAUAGAGCUCCUGUUACCCACUGUGGUAGGUCGGGCAGUGAGGAAAAGGGGAGUAAGAAGUCCAAGAGGAACAGCCAGAAGAACAUUUCAACCCAAUGGCUGUAAGGACCAGAAGGGGAAGAGCAGCAGUUCAAGGCAUUUGAAGAGAAGUGGUGGGCCCAGAGGGAACUCCGGUAGAUGAUCAAGAAUGUUUUUCUACUUCAGAUGUAAUGACAUGGAAGGAAAUGUUGGGAACUGAUAGGG
rnacentral:lncRNA from 1 species